GGCAGUGCGGCAGCUACACAUGCAGUCGAGCGGUAGCACAGAGAGCUUGCUCUCGGGUGACGAGCGGCGGACGGGUGAGUAAUGUCUGGGAAACUGCCUGAUGGAGGGGGAUAACUACUGGAAACGGUAGCUAAUACCGCAUAACGUCGCAAGACCAAAGUGGGGGACCUUCGGGCCUCAUGCCAUCAGAUGUGCCCAGAUGGGAUUAGCUGGUAGGUGGGGUAACGGCUCACCUAGGCGACGAUCCCUAGCUGGUCUGAGAGGAUGACCAGCCACACUGGAACUGAGACACGGUCCAGACUCCUACGGGAGGCAGCAGUGGGGAAUAUUGCACAAUGGGCGCAAGCCUGAUGCAGCCAUGCCGCGUGUGUGAAGAAGGCCUUCGGGUUGUAAAGCACUUUCAGCGGGGAGGAAGGCGGUGAGGUUAAUAACCUCAUCGAUUGACGUUACCCGCAGAAGAAGCACCGGCUAACUCCGUGCCAGCAGCCGCGGUAAUACGGAGGGUGCAAGCGUUAAUCGGAAUUACUGGGCGUAAAGCGCACGCAGGCGGUCUGUCAAGUCGGAUGUGAAAUCCCCGGGCUCAACCUGGGAACUGCAUUCGAAACUGGCAGGCUAGAGUCUUGUAGAGGGGGGUAGAAUUCCAGGUGUAGCGGUGAAAUGCGUAGAGAUCUGGAGGAAUACCGGUGGCGAAGGCGGCCCCCUGGACAAAGACUGACGCUCAGGUGCGAAAGCGUGGGGAGCAAACAGGAUUAGAUACCCUGGUAGUCCACGCUGUAAACGAUGUCGAUUUGGAGGUUGUGCCCUUGAGGCGUGGCUUCCGGAGCUAACGCGUUAAAUCGACCGCCUGGGGAGUACGGCCGCAAGGUUAAAACUCAAAUGAAUUGACGGGGGCCCGCACAAGCGGUGGAGCAUGUGGUUUAAUUCGAUGCAACGCGAAGAACCUUACCUGGUCUUGACAUCCACAGAACUUUCCAGAGAUGGAUUGGUGCCUUCGGGAACUGUGAGACAGGUGCUGCAUGGCUGUCGUCAGCUCGUGUUGUGAAAUGUUGGGUUAAGUCCCGCAACGAGCGCAACCCUUAUCCUUUGUUGCCAGCGGUUAGGCCGGGAACUCAAAGGAGACUGCCAGUGAUAAACUGGAGGAAGGUGGGGAUGACGUCAAGUCAUCAUGGCCCUUACGACCAGGGCUACACACGUGCUACAAUGGCAUAUACAAAGAGAAGCGACCUCGCGAGAGCAAGCGGACCUCAUAAAGUAUGUCGUAGUCCGGAUUGGAGUCUGCAACUCGACUCCAUGAAGUCGGAAUCGCUAGUAAUCGUAGAUCAGAAUGCUACGGUGAAUACGUUCCCGGGCCUUGUACACACCGCCCGUCACACCAUGGGAGUGGGUUGCAAAAGAAGUAGGUAGCUUAACCUUCGGGAGGGCGCUACCACUUUUGAUACGGGG
rnacentral:rRNA from 1 species